rnacentral:tRNA from 1 species
UAGGAGUUAGUUUAAAAUAGAAUUGUUGACUGUUAAUCAAAAGGUGUUUACUCUUAA